rnacentral:rRNA from 1 species
CCUACGGGGGGCAGCAGUGAGGAAUAUUGGUCAAUGGACGCAAGUCUGAACCAGCCAUGCAGCGUGAAGGAUGACUGCUCUAUGGGUUGUAAACUUCUUUUAUAAGGGAAUAAAGUCAGACACGUGUGUCUUUUUGUAAGUAUCUUACGAAUAAGGAUCGGCUAACUCCGUGCCAGCAGCCGCGGUAAUACGGAGGAUCCGAGCGUUAUCCGGAUUUAUUGGGUUUAAAGGGAGCGUAGGUGGGCUGUUAAGUCAGUUGUGAAAGUUUGAGGCUCAACCGUGGAAUUGCAUCUGAUACUGGCAGCCUUGAGUGCAGUUGAGGUAGGCGGAAUUCAUGGUGUAGCGGUGAAAUGCUUAGAGAUCACGAAGAACUCCGAUUGCGAAGGCAGCUUACUAAGCUGCCACUGACGUUGAUGCUCGAAAGUGUGGGUAGCAAACAGGAUUAGAUACCCGUGUAGUC